UUGGUUUGUUAUUGGUGGUCGGCUCAAUUGCUUGUGCAACAACUUCCACCUGGCAUGCCCUAUUCAUUCGUGUGUUCAGGCUUAAAUUGCUUGAAAAAUUGUGGGUUUUAUGUGUUGCCUACCAAUCCUACGGUAUUGAUUUGGCUUAUCCAAGUCUUGUUCGUCUUUCGUCAUGCUUAUGAAAUCAGAUGAACCCUAAACCUGUCUCUUUGAACCACAACAUUAACGCUUGUGUUGAUGAAGUGGCGCAUUGAGCCUUGGUUGGUCUCUUCGAUGUGGUACCCAAUGUGGGCAUGGGUCUCAUGGAUCCUUGUUAUGUCCCUGUUUAGUGUUUAUGCUCCCUAAAAUGACAGGUUUGACACGUGUUGCCUUGUAACAGCGUGUCGGGUUUUGUCUAAGAGGAAAGUUACCUGGU
rnacentral:misc_RNA from 1 species